CCCUGAAGCGGCCCCUCCCCGUGCGCACGUUUCCCUCUGGCUAAUACUGGACACACUGUUCCCGAUUUUGAGUCCUAGGGAAAAAUGUCUCACAUUUUAAAAGAUAUAUUUAUUUUCUCUCCCCAGUGUAUAUGGGGAACUUCCAGCCCCAUUGUGGCCUCGCUGCGGAAUGUGACAGCGGCGUUCUCCCUGGAAGCCAGGCCUGGUCCAAAAGCCACCCUGCAGCCUGGAGAGAGAAGGGGCUUGUGUGCCUGCGGCUCCGUCCACAGACCUGCCAUUCACAAGGGCUGAAAGCGCAGCUUCAUGGGCCCGGCCGCCUCGCAGCCAACAGGGCUUUGUAUCUUGUCCUCAGGGAGGGGACACUGGCCGAGACCCCCCUCGUGUUUCUCUCGUCCGCCUUCAGCCAGGCUAGGAUUGCCAGUGCUGGCCCCCGAGUGACCUCCGAUUCCCAGGGACACAGUGGUGAUGGAGACAGGAAAGACCCCUGGGGAAGGAGGGGACACAUUUACAACCCAACCCGGGGAAAGUGUGCACCCCAGUCCUGGAGACCCCAUGGCGUCUCCUGAGAAGAGAAUUAGGUCUCCGAGAUGUGGAGGGAAGAGGAGCCAUCAGCCCUGAAGCUUUCAGAUUUGGGGGAGCCAUGAACAGGGGCAAAUGAAGAUUAAAAAGGGGAGCCCGAGGAAAGGCCCCACACUGUCUUUUCACUAAACACGGCACCCAGGGGAAGGGGGCCUGCACUUCCAUGCUUGCCCGCUCCUAACCUGGGUGGACAGCUUCAGCCUAGUCAGCGCCUGUGUCUGGGUCUCAGUUUUCCCAUCUGACAAAUGGGCUAUUACAUGCCAUUGGCUCUGCUGACCUAACAGGUUUGUUGGGAGAACAAAGGAGACAGGGUGAGUGACUUUGCCAUGUGCAAAGGAUUGUCAUCCUUAUUGCUGAAAACUCUGAGAACAACUGGCUGGGUUUGCUUUUCUUUCUUUCUUUUCAGCAAUACUGGGGAUUGAACUGAGUGCCUUCACACUGAGCUACAUCUCAAGCCCUUUUUUGUUUUCUGUGUUAAGACAGGGUCUCACUAAGUUGCUCUGGCUGGGCUAAAGUUUGUGAUCUUCCUUCCUUAGCUCCCCACAGUGCUGGGAUUACGGGCAUCGACAAGCACAUUUUAUUUGCUUUUGGAUUUUUUAAACAGGAUCUCACUGUGUAGUUCAGGCUGGUUUUGAACUCACUGUGAAGCCUAGUUGAUUCUCCUGCCUCAGCCUCCCGAGCCCUGGGAUUGCAGGUGAGUGCCAUCACUCUCUCCUUCUUAUGAAGCCACCAGCACCCAAUCAGGGCUCCCCAUGACCUUACCUAAUCCUCAUCAUCUCCUGGAGUCCCCACGUGUGAACACCACAGUCAGGUUCAGCUACUUCCUCACAGAGGGGGUCAAAUGUCAACACAUGAGUCUUUGGGGGCCACGACACUGCAUCCAACCAUUGACUUCGCCUUUCUCCAUGCCAGAAGAAGAAAUGAAUGCAGCAGAGGUUUCCAGCUCCUGGGCCAGGCGGAGGGGUACAGCCAGGGGCCUGGGGAGAGAGGUGGGGAUGGAGGAGCCAGCAGUGGGGCUGAGCCAGGCCUGGGUCCUUCCCCUGCAGUGACACUUAUUAGCCGUGUGACGUCAGGCAGGUCUACCAGGUCUCUGUUCUUCAGCUCCUCUCCCGUGAAUGCAGGGAAUGACAACGUGGCUCCCAGGUCACCUGAGAAGGCAGGUGCAGGUGUCCCCCCUCAUUUCCAGGUGACCCCCUGGGCCCAGAGAGGGGAAGUAACUCACCUGUGGUCACACAGGUGGUGUUAGUGAUCCCAGGAGAUCUGGGGCCUACAGCUGCUCUUUACCACCUUCCCCGCCACUUGUGCACAUUAAGGGCCCAAGUCCGUGUUGGCUACAGUCAGGACCCUGAAGGCUAGUGCUAGGCAGAGGCAGCAGAAGGAAAGUGAGUUCUGGGCAGGUGGCCCCACACGUGCCAUGGCCCAGUGGCCUUGGAGGAGAGUCAGGGGGGAACUGGGGAGGAGAGGCAGGGAUAGCCAGGCAACAGAAGGGGAGGCAUGUGAAUGAGGAUUUGGGGUUAGACUUGCGGGUGGG
rnacentral:lncRNA from 1 species